CCGUCUGAAAUGACCUGCCUCCUCUUCUGUUUUUCCUUCCAAGCCCAGCUGGGGGCCACUUCCUGGAGGAAGCCUUCCCUGACUUCCAAGGCAAAGCCCUUGGUGCCCUCCUCUGAGUGUUUUCCCCUUAGAUUUUUAUCACGUCUAAUUACUGCACUCACAUCUAUCUGCCUUUUGGAUCAUAAGCACCCGAGGACAACUUCUCCAGUUCCUGCUACCAGCUCAAACAAAACUAAACCACUAGUCUUCCCUUGGAAACUUUGUCUACAGAGGCAGAGCUUAAUUCUGGAGAAGACUUUGCCUCCAUGUCAUUAGUCAAGAAGGUUUCAGAUCACAUCCAGGACUUCAUGCUGAAUGUCAUUAAGUGUUCAGUGUUUGGAACUCCCAGCUCAUCCUGACUUGGAAGCAAGUUUAUUUAUUCAGCAUAAAAGGAAGUAUUUGAACUCACAGAGUGUGAUUCUCUGCAACUUUUAAAAGCAGCAAGACUGGACAGACAACUUUUAGGACAAUAAGACAUAUUUCUCUGUUCUGAAUAUUUUUUGCUAUCUUAACUAGACAAUUCUAGCUAUGUAGGAGC